UGGAGGCAGCAGUGAGGAAUAUUGCUCAAUGGACGAAAGUCUGAAGCAGCAACGCCGCGUGAGGGAUGAAGGUGCUCUGCAUUGUAAACCUCUGUAGUCGGGGACAAAAAGUGGGUUACUACCCACCUGAUGGUACCCGAAAAGUAAGGAUCGGCUAACUACGUGCCAGCAGCCGCGGUAAUACGUAGGAUCCAAGCGUUGUCCGGAUUUACUGGGUGUAAAGGGUGCGCAGGCGGACUUAUAAGUCAGGGGUGAAAUCUCACGGCUCAACCGUGAAACUGCCUUUGAUACUGUAGGUCUUGAGUCAGAGAGAGAGUCGUGGAAUUCCGAGUGUAGCAGUGAAAUGUGUAGAUAUUCGGAAGAACACCAGUGGCGAAGGCAGCGACUUGGCUCUGUACUGACGCUCAGGCACGAAAGCAUGGGGAUCAAACAGGAUUAGAUACCCCGGUAGU
rnacentral:rRNA from 1 species